CAAUAUAAGUGAUGGCGACCGGCGCACGGGUGAGUAACACGUAUCCAACCUGCCGAUAACUCGGGGAUAGCCUUUCGAAAGAAAGAUUAAUACCCAUGGUAUAAUAAAACCGCAUGGUUUAAUUAUUAAAGAAUUUCGGUUAUCGAUGGGGAUGCGUUCCAUUAGGCAGUUGGUGAGGUAACGGCUCACCAAACCUUCGAUGGAUAGGGGUUCUGAGAGGAAGGUCCCCCACAUUGGAACUGAGACACGGUCCAA
rnacentral:rRNA from 1 species